GUGAUUUGUUGAUUCACAUCGAUAAAACCAGUUGUGUGCCACAUACAUGGCACGAAUCCCGAGCUUCCUCUUACCGAUAGGCAUCAAUCCAAGUCGCUGAGGGACCUAACUAAGAGUUCCCCUCUGGACCUGAGAGAAGAGAAGGUUCGCGAAACGAUCUCCUACACAGAUUCUCAAUCAAUAUGCAUUGAAUGAAAGAAUUGGUCCAUUCCCUGGAUAAGCCAAAGGUUCCGUUCACGGAUCAAGUCAUUUCAUAUAUGAUAUUUCUGAUUCCCGAUGAACCGCAUAC
rnacentral:lncRNA from 1 species